AACUGCUGCACAAGGAGUGUUCGAUUGGACUCCUUUUCACACAAUGAACAACCAGCUUAGAACUGAUGCGGGCAAGGGGAAUCCGACUGUUUAAUUGAAACAAAGUAUUGCGAUGCCCUGAAAGGAUGUUGACACAAUGUGAUUUCUGCCCAGUGCUCUGAAUGUCAAAGUGAGGAGAUUCAACUAAGCGCGGGUAAACGGCGGGAGUAACUAUGACUCUCUUAAGGUAGCCAAAUGCCUCGUCAUCCAAUUAGUGACGCGCAUGAAUGGAUUAAUGAGAUUCCUACUGUCCCAAUCUACUGUCCAGCGAAACCACAGCCAAGGGAACGGGCUUGGGUGAGUCAGCGGGGAAAGAAGACCCUGUUGAGCUUGACUCUAAUCCGACUUUGUGAAAUGACUUAGGAGGAGUAGGAUAUGUGGGAGCUCAGGUGAUCUUGAAAUACCACUACUUUUAAUGUCACUUUACUUACUCUAUCCAACUGUGCCCUGCCUCACAGCAGGUUUUUGCUUUUAAGGUUGCUCUUUUGGCGUGUUGAUUUGCGUAGAAGACGUCGUCCGGUGGGGAGUUUGGCUGGGGCGGCACAU
rnacentral:rRNA from 1 species